rnacentral:ncRNA from 1 species
UAAAGGCUUGGUCCUAGCCUUACUAUCGACUUUAGCCAGACUUACACAUGCAAGUAUCCGCACCCCCGUGAGAAUGCCCCACAGUUCCCUGUCCGGGAACAAGGAGCCGGUAUCAGGCUCAAUACCCCAUAGCCCAUGACACCUUGCUUAGCCACACCCUCAAGGGACCUCAGCAGUGAUAGACAUUAAGCCAUAAGUGAAAACUUGACUUAGUUAAGGCUAAGAGGGCCGGUAAAACUCGUGCCAGCCACCGCGGUUAUACGAGAGACCCAAGUUGAUAGACUUCGGCGUAAAGCGUGGUUAAGCCAGAGGAAAAAUACUAAAGCCGAAUGCCCUUAAAGCCGUUAUACGCACCCAAAGGUAAGAAGCCCCACCACGAAAGUAGCUUUAUUUCCCCGAACCCACGAAAGCUAGGACACAAACUGGGAUUAGAUACCCCCCUAUGCCUAGCCGUAAACAUAGAUAGAAAACUACACCCACUAUCCGCCCGGGAACUACAAGCAUUAGCUUGAAACCCAAAGGACUUGGCGGUGCUUUAGAUCCCCCUAGAGGAGCCUGUUCUAGAACCGAUAACCCCCGUUAAACCUCACCUUUCCUUGUUUUCCCCGCCUAUAUACCGCCGUCGUCAGCUUACCCUGUGAAGGUCUCAUAGUAAACAAAAUUGGCAUAGCCCAAAACGUCAGGUCGAGGUGUAGCGUAUGAAAAGGGAAGAAAUGGGCUACAUUCACUACCACAGUGAAUACGAACGGCGCACUGAAACGUGCGCCUGAAGGAGGAUUUAGCAGUAAGCAGGUAUUAGAGUGUUCCGCUGAAAUUGGCCCUGAAGCGCGCACACACCGCCCGUCACUCUCCCCAAGCCCCAAAAACUUAAUACAUAAAGCCCAAAAUCCGCGAAGGGGAGGCAAGUCGUAACAUGGUAAGUGUACCGGAAGGUGCGCUUGGAAAAAU